CAUCGUUGAUAAAAAAAACCCCAAACAACCAUAAACCCAAAGUUUUAAAAAUGAAUAAUUAAAUAAGUUAAGCUAAUAUUCUUGAUACUGUAAUUUGCAUAGUUUUAGCAGGUAUGCUAUGGAAAUAACAUUUAAGAAACAUCGUGAAGGCAGGAUUUCUUCAUGAUAUCAGAUAUACAACUCAACACAUGGUUGCGUGGAAGCUGAUGAAGUCGACGCCUCAGACACAGUGCGUCCGGGCCCUUGUCAUUUUCAGUCCACCCUCUUGUCAUCCUCCUGGCACUUCAUGGGGAUAAAGUGA